rnacentral:lncRNA from 1 species
CAAAAAUGAUUUUGAAUUGAAUAUCAGAAGGUGGGAUAUCUAAAAUGUAAUCACUGAGACCCCCAUUAUCUCUGAGUUCAACAAUUACCCAGUAGCUCUGCAACUAUCUAGUCUAUGAUGUUAUUCAUGGUAUCAACAACUCCCUCCGCAUCCGAAACGAAGAUUUCUUGCAUGGCAUUAAUGGUUACUAAUGAGCCCUCAGGGUUAAGACCGUCG